rnacentral:rRNA from 1 species
AGAGUUUGAUCCUGGCUCAGAUUGAACGCUGGCGGCAUGCCUAACACAUGCAAGUCGAACGGUAACGACGGAAAUGAUCCCUUCGGGGUGAUUUUCCGGGCGACGAGUGGCGGACGGGUGAGUAAUGCAUAGGAAUCUGCCCAGUAGCGGGGGACAACUCGGGGAAACUCGAGCUAAUACCGCAUACGCCCUACGGGGGAAAGCGGGGGACCUUCGGGCCUCGCACUAUUGGAUGAGCCUAUGUCUGAUUAGCUUGUUGGUGGGGUAACGGCCUACCAAGGCAGCGAUCAGUAGCUGGUCUGAGAGGAUGAUCAGCCACACUGGGACUGAGACACGGCCCAGACUCCUACGGGAGGCAGCAGUGGGGAAUAUUGGACAAUGGGGGCAACCCUGAUCCAGCCAUGCCGCGUGGGUGAAGAAGGCCUUCGGGUUGUAAAGCCCUUUUGUUCGGAAAGAAAUCUCUUCGGCUAAUACUCGGAGAGGAUGACGGUACCGAAAGAAUAAGCACCGGCUAACUUCGUGCCAGCAGCCGCGGUAAUACGAAGGGUGCAAGCGUUACUCGGAAUUACUGGGCGUAAAGCGUGCGCAGGCGGUUUGUUAAGUCUGAUGUGAAAGCCCCGGGCUCAACCUGGGAAUUGCAUUGGAAACUGGCAGGCUAGAGUGCGGUAGAGGAUGGUGGAAUUCCCGGUGUAGCGGCGAAAUGCGUAGAGAUUGGGAAGAACACCGGUGGCGAAAGCGCUCUACUGGACCAUAACUGACACUCAGAGGACGAAAGCUAGGGGAGCGAAAGGGAUUAGAUACCCCUGUAGUCCUAGCCGUAAACGAUGGAUACUAGGCGUUGAGAGUAUCGACCCUCUCAGUGCCGAAGCUAACGCGUUAAGUAUCCCGCCUGGGGAGUACGCACGCAAGUGUGAAACUCAAAGGAAUUGACGGGGGCCCGCACAAGCGGUGGAGGAUGUGGUUUAAUUCGAUGCAACGCGAAGAACCUUACCAGGGCUUGACAUGUCCGGAAUCUCGGUGAAAGCCGGGAGUGCCUUCGGGAACCGGAACACAGGUGGUGCAUGGCUGUCGUCAGCUCGUGUCGUGAGAUGUUGGGUUAAGUCCCGCAACGAGCGCAACCCUCGUCCUUAGUUGCCAGCAUUAAGUUGGGCACUUUAGGGAGACUGCCGGGGACAACUCGGAGGAAGGUGAGGAUGACGUCAAGUCAGCAUGCCCCUUACGUCCUGGGCUACACACGUACUACAAUGGCCGAUACAGAGGGUUGCCAAGUCGCGAGACGGAGCUAAUCCCAGAAAGUCGGUCGUAGUCCGGAUCGGAGUCUGCAACUCGACUCCGUGAAGUCGGAAUCGCUAGUAAUCGCGAAUCAGCACUUGUCGCGGUGAAUACGUUCCCGGGCCUUGUACACACCGCCCGUCACACCAUGGAAGUCUGCUGCACCAGAAGCCGGUCGCCUAACCGCAAGGAGGGCGCCGUCCACGGUGUGGCCGAUGACUGGGGUGAAGUCGUAACAAGGUAACCGUA